GCUGGGUGCUGUGGCACACACCUGUAAUCCCAGCAAUUUGGGAGGCUGAGACAAGAGGAUUGCGAGUUCAAAGCUAGCCUCAGCAAUUUAGUGAGGCACUAAGCAACUCAGUGAGACCCUGUCUCUA
rnacentral:sRNA from 1 species